CGCCGGAAGACCAAGGGUUCCUGUCCAACGUUAAUCGGGGCAGGGUGAGUCGACCCCUAAGGCGAGGCUGAAAAGCGUAGUCGAUGGGCAACGGGUUAAUAUUCCCGUACUGGUGGUAACUGCGAAGGGGGGACGGAGAAAGCUAAAUCAUCCGGGCGACGGUUGUCCCGGUUUAAGCGUGCAGGUGGACUGACCAGGCAAAUCCGGUCGGUUGUUAACACUGAGGCGUGACGACGAGCCACUACGGUGGUGAAGUGAUUGAUGCUCUGCUUCCGGGAAAAGCCUCUAAGCUCCAGGUUACCAUUAAUCGUACCCCAAACCGACACAGGUGGUCAGGUAGAGAAUACUCAGGCGCUUGAGAGAACUCGGGUGAAGGAACUAGGCAAAAUGGUGCCGUAACUUCGGGAGAAGGCACGCUGGCAUUAGGUGAAGUGGUUUACCCACGGAGCUGAAGCCAGCCGCAGAUACCAGCUGGCUGCAACUGUUUAUUAAAAACACAGCACUGUGCAAACACGAAAGUGGACGUAUACGGUGUGACGCCUGCCCGGUGCCGGAAGGUUAAUUGAUGAGGUCAGCCGCAAGGCGAAGCUUCUGAUCGAAGCCCCGGUAAACGGCGGCCGUAACUAUAACGGUCCUAAGGUAGCGAAAUUCCUUGUCGGGUAAGUUCCGACCUGCACGAAUGGCGUAAUGAUGGCCAGGCUGUCUCCACCCGAGACUCAGUGAAAUUGAACUCGCUGUGAAGAUGCAGUGUACCCGCGGCAAGACGGAAAGACCCCGUGAACCUUUACUAUAGCUUGACACUGAACAUUGAGCCUUGAUGUGUAGGAUAGGUGGGAGGCAACGAAGUGUGGACGCCAGUCUGCACGGAGCCAUCCUUGAAAUACCACCCUUUAACGUUUGAUGUUCUAACCCGGGUCCAUAAUCUGGAUCGGGGACCGUGUCUGGUGGGUAGUUUGACUGGGGCGGUCUCCUCCCAAAGAGUAACGGAGGAGCACGAAGGUUGGCUAAGCAUGGUCGGACAUCAUGCGGUUAGUGCAAAGGCAUAAGCCAGCUUGACUGCGAGAGUGACGGCUCGAGCAGGUACGAAAGUAGGUCUUAGUGAUCCGGUGGUUCUGAAUGGAAGGGCCAUCGCUCAACGGAUAAAAGGUACUCCGGGGAUAACAGGCUGAUACCGCCCAAGAGUUCAUAUCGACGGCGGUGUUUGGCACCUCGAUGUCGGCUCAUCACAUCCUGGGGCUGAAGUAGGUCCCAAGGGUAUGGCUGUUCGCCAUUUAAAGUGGUACGCGAGCUGGGUUUAGAACGUCGUGAGACAGUUCGGUCCCUAUCUGCCGUGGGCGCUGGAAGAUUGAGAGGGGUUGCUCCUAGUACGAGAGGACCGGAGUGAACGCACCACUGGUGUACGGGUUGUGAUGCCAAUUGCAUUGCCCGGUAGCUAAGUGCGGAAGAGAUAACCGCUGAAAGCAUCUAAGCGGGAAACUUGCCUCGAGAUGAGUCUUCCCUGACCCUUUAAGGGUCCUGAAGGAACGUUUGAGACUAAGACGUUGAUAGGCUGGGUGUGUAAGCGCAGCGAUGCGUUGAGCUGACCAGUACUAAUGAACC
rfam:Morganella morganii subsp. morganii KT, complete genome.